GAAUCAACGCUGGCGGCGUGCCUAACACAUGCAAGUCGAACGCGAGAGGGGCUUCGGCCCCGACUUGAGUGGCGAACGGGUGAGUAACGCGUGGGUGACCUACCUUCGAGUGGGGGAUAACGUCCCGAAAGGGACGCUAAUACCGCAUAACAUCCUGCUUUUGAAUGGGUGGAGAUCAAAGCCGGGGAUCGCAAGACCUGGCGCUUGAUGAGGGGCCCGCGUCUGAUUAGCUAGNGGUGAGGUAACGGCCCACCAAGGCAACGAUCAGUAUCCGGCCUGAGAGGGCGGACGGGACACACUGGGACUGAGACACGGCCCAGACUCCUACGGGAGGCAGCAGUGGGGAAUCUUGCGCAAUGGGCGAAAGCCUGACGCAGCGACGCCGCGUGAGGGAUGACGGCCU
rnacentral:rRNA from 1 species